CCUACGGGUGGCUGCAGUAGGGAAUAUUGGGCAAUGGGCGCAAGCCUGACGCAGCAACGCCGCGUGGAGGAAGAAGGCUUUCGGGUUGUAAACUUCUUUUGACAGGGAAGAGCAGAAGACGGUACCUGUCGAAUAAACCACGGCUAACUACGUGCCAACCGGCGCGGUAAUACGUAGGUGGCAAGCGUUGUCCGGAUUUACUGGGUGUAAAGGGCGUGUGGCGCGGAGGACAAGUCAGAUGGGAACUCCGCGGGCGCAACCCCCGAACUGCAUUUGAAACUUUUGGUCUUGAGUACCGGAGAGGCAGGCGGAAUGCCUAGUGUAGCGGUGAAAUGCGUAGAUAUUAGGAGGAACACCAGUGGCGAAGGCGGCCUGCUGGACGACAACUGACGGUGAGGCGCGAAAGCGUGGGGAGCAAACAGGAUUAGAUACCCGAGUAGUC
rnacentral:rRNA from 1 species